rnacentral:rRNA from 1 species
GUCCACGCCGUAAACGAUGUCAACUAGCCGUUGGGGAACUUGAUUCUUUAGUGGCGCAGCUAACGCACUAAGUUGACCGCCUGGGGAGUACGGCCGCAAGGUUAAAACUCAAAUGAAUUGACGGGGGCCCGCACAAGCGGUGGAGCAUGUGGUUUAAUUCGAUGCAACGCGAAAAACCUUACCAUCUCUUGACAUCCUGCGAACUUGGUAGAGAUACCUUGGUGCCUUCGGGAGCGCAGAGAC